CACACCCGUUCCCAUCCCGAACACGACGGUUAAGACCCAAUCGGCCGAUGGUACUGCACUGGAGACGGUGUGGGAGAGCAGGUGGGCGCCAGAU
rnacentral:rRNA from 1 species